rnacentral:rRNA from 1 species
GAUGAACGCUAGCUACAGGCUUAACACAUGCAAGUCGAGGGAAACGAUAUUGGAAGCUUGCUUCUGAUAGGCGUCGACCGGCGCACGGGUGAGUAACGCGUAUCCAACCUGCCCAUCACUUGGGGACAACCUUGCGAAAGUAAGACUAAUACCCAAUGACGUCUCUAGAAGACAUCUGAAAGAGAUUAAAGAUUUAUCGGUGAUGGAUGGGGAUGCGUCUGAUUAGCUUGUUGGCGGGGUAACGGCCCACCAAGGCGACGAUCAGUAGGGGUUCUGAGAGGAAGGUCCCCCCACAUUGGAACUGAGACACGGUCCAAACUCCUACGGGAGGCAGCAGUGAGGAAUAUUGGUCCAAUGGACGAGAGUCUGAACCAGCCAAGUAGCGUGCAGGAUGACGGCCCUAUGGGUUGUAAACUGCUUUAUAAGGGAAUAAAGUGGGAGUCGUGACUCUUUUUGCAUGUACCUUAUGAAUAAGGACCGGCUAAUUCCGUGCCAGCAG